rnacentral:lncRNA from 1 species
UAAAGGGGGUCUAUGUUUGACAUAUAUUCAAAAUAAUAAAAAUAAAAGGGUUAAAAAAUAAAUCAAAAAUGAAAGUAAAAUAGGAAAAUAAAUGACUAAAAAUAAAAGCAACUAAAAAAGAAAUAAGGAUUUGCACACGCUAGGGGUUGAACCCUUGACCCUGGGGUCAUGGAGGGAUCAACCCCCUCUCCCACUGGGCCAGUGGCUCGGUGGUGUUAACAAAACACGUCGAAGCAAUAAAAUAUUGAAACAACGGUUAAAAAGAACUCGCGCGCUAGCCAACCAAUCAGAGUGGGAAAUAAUUUAUUUUUAAACUCAAAUUUUCAUGCGAGGUAAUGACUCGGUGUCAUCUUCAACCUCCAAACUUCAAAAAUCUAACUCCAUAAAUCAAUGUUUUUGAUAAGAUUUUCUCAUGGAAUCUUAUUGCAG